rnacentral:lncRNA from 1 species
GCAGCCUCCUCACUCAAGAGCCAGGCAGCAACGAAAAAUUUGUCUGAUGCUUGCAAACCACUGAAGAAGCGAAAUCGGGCUUCUGCAACAGCGUCUUCAGCACUUGGGUUUAACAAAAGUUCAUCUCCUUCUGCAUCCUUAACUGAGAAUGAGCUUUUAUGGGACCCCACAUCAGUCAAGUUGGACUUGAACUCAGCCGCCCUGUACUGCACUUAGAAUGAUGUAAUACCCCAAGAUGUCUGCUGCAGGUGGUGCCUCAUCGUAUACACUAAGUGACAUUUCUAUCACAAUCAUUUUAUGGAAGAUGUGUGAUAAUCUGUUUUUACUGGUAUUAAUAAACACAUACAAUGAAGAAAAAAAAAUCUUUCUCCCAAAAUACUGUGUUCCUUAGUCUGAAACCAGAAAACCUUGUAUCUUGCACUCUCUCCCAGAGUAAUAAUAUAACCAUAAAACUCAAAGUCAUACCCAUCAUAAUAUCUGCUUGUUCCUGGAGCAAAUCGCCCUUUGAUACAGCAGCAAAAUUCCCACUUUCAACUGAUUAUUAAUAUUACCCUGAAUAUCUAAAGCUUCUGCGACACCUGCGAAUAGAUUACUUACAGCUGUGGAUAAAUUACUUACAGCUGCCGCAGUCUAUACUACAGAGGUAAGGGAUAUGGCUGCAGCAAUGGCAGCGGCGGCAGAAACUGUGCGACUCGUCCCAAAACCGGGAACUUUAUUGUCUCAAUCCGAGAACUUACCGACGUCGCCGUCCUGAGAUUGAGGAGUUCUGAAUCCAUGAGGAUGUCCUCAGGUAUCCGUAUGGGUCACCAGUUGUCGCGCCCACCUUGGCCAGCAAGGAAGACACAACACGGUCGGAUUCUUCUCAACAACCUUUAUUGCAGGACCACCCUCAUUGCUGAUAUGGGGACCUCGAGCAGCAAAAGCGCUCGCCUUAUAUACACAGCAGGCUGAGGCUAUGCUAAUUGUCCUUCAGGGAUUGUCGGAACAUGAAUCCCUCAUUAGCAUAUUAAUGUCCGGCCAACUGGCACCAGGUGCAAAACCCGCACAUACACAGUACCGUUGUUCACCACAGGUGGGUGCCCUACAAAUCUUGGUUAAUACAUAACAAAAAUCUUCAUCUGAGAAUUUUCCAUUUAGUAAGAAAACCAGUGGAUGACUAAUUCACAGGACUCUUUUUCGCUAACAGGUUCCUGUAAUUAGAUUUUUUUAAUGUAUUUAGAAGUUUUUCUUAAUUGGAUAAUUUUUAUUUACAUUUCAAAUGUUAUCCCCUUGCCUGGUUUCCUGGCCCUAAGUCCCCUAACCCAUUCCUCUUCUCUUCUUCUAUGACAGUGUUCCCCCUCCCCAAACACCCCCCUCUGGCUCCCCCUGACAUUCCCCUACACUUUGGGGGUCCAUCCUUGGCAGGACCAAGGAAUUCUCCUCCCAGUGAUGCCGAACAAGGCCAUCCUCUGCCACAUAUGCAGCUAGAAUCAUGGAUCUGUCUGUGUGUACUCUUAGGAUGGUGGUUUUUGAGGAGCUGUCCGAGGAGCUGUCCUCACAGAGAUGUGAGGAGCUGUCCGAGGAGCUGUCCUCACAUAUGUGAGGAGCUGUCCUCACAAACUCCAUUACAAGAUGGCACCGGCAUCCCGCAGAACGCACCUAGUAAAAAGGGCAAUACGCAGGCGCCUGGUAACGUCCCUACUCAAAGGGACACGUACGUUUUGGUACGUCAUCUGGCAUAAUUGGCAGCGACCAGUCAGAGAGUGACACGUCCUAGGCGAGGAUAGUUUCCUAUAUAAGGGACGGUUAUUCCUCACUCUCCGUCUCCGCAUUGUAAGCUUAUGCUCUCCCUCUCAAGACGCAUUAAAGCUUUUCUGCAGUAGGAUCCUGUGUGUGCCGCGUCGUUCCUGCUGGCGAGACGAAGCGCGGGACAUCUGGUGCCAAAAACCCGGGAAAGACCUCGCCAUCGUCAGCACCUUCGGAGAUCCCUUGGCGACAAGGAGGAUUCAGAACUGCAGGACAAUGAAAAUCCCAUAUGGAUCCCAGGACGACUUACUAGGAGCAUCACAGCAAGUGAUCAAGAAGGGACUGGGACUCCUGCACCUCCUCACUCUUCUUCCAUGGAUGCCAGCAACGGUGCAGGGCGAGCUACGAUGGG